UCUCCAGCCACUUCCCAUUACUUUAUCUCCCACUUGAAAAGGUUUCGUUUUUUCAUAAUCUGAAGCAGUUCUACGGAUGAAUCCAGUCCAGUUUUUUGAGCUGCGGGUCAGAUUAACUUCCAAAUCAAAGAAAAAAAGGAACCAAGAAGAUUGUGCAAAUCGGAAAUGGAAGUCACUGCCUUAUCAGAAAAAUGCCAUAAUCAAAACAGUGUAUCUUCGUGGAAGGCCCAGCUGCAAAAACACAAAUCUAACCUCAAGACUAUCAGCUUAUUCAGAAAACCUACUCAUCUUUCAAAAUCCAGCU
rnacentral:lncRNA from 10 species